AUUGAACGCUGGCGGCAGGCCUAACACAUGCAAGUCGAGCGGAGCGGCGGACGGGUUAGUAAUGCCUAGGAAUCUGCCUGGUAGUGGGGGAUAACGUCCGAAAACGGGCGCUAAUACCGCAUACUCUCAGAUGAGCCUAGGUCGGAUAAGCUAGUUGGUGGGGUAAAGGCCUACCAAGGCGACGAUCCGUAACUGGUCUGAGAGGAUGAUCAGUCACACUGUAACUGAACAACGGUCCAGACUCCUACGGGAGGCAGUAGUUGGAAAUAUUGGACAAUGGGCGAAAGCCUGAUCCAGCCAUGCCGCGUAUGUGAAGAAGGUCUUCUGAUUGUAAAGCACUUUAAGUUGGUAGGCGUUAACAACAGAAUAAGCACCGGCUAACUUCGUGCCAGCCGCCGCGGUAAUUC
rnacentral:rRNA from 1 species